GUAGGUGGCAAGCGUUGUCCGGAAUUAUUGGGCGUAAAGCGCGCGCAGGCGGUUCUUUAAGUCUGAUGUGAAAGCCCACGGCUCAACCGUGGAGGGUCAUUGGAAACUGGAGAACUUGAGUACAGAAGAGGAAAGCGGAAUUCCACGUGUAGCGGUGAAAUGCGUAGAGAUGUGGAGGAACACCAGUGGCAAAGGCGGCUUUCUGGUCUGUAACUGACGCUGAGGCGCGAAAGCGUGGGGAGCAAACAGGGAUUAGAUACCCUGGUAGUCCACGCCGUAAACGAUGAGUGCUAAGUGUUAGGGGGUUUCCGCCCCCUUAGUGCUGCAGCUAACGCAUUAAGCACUCCACCUGGGGAGUACGGCCGCAAGGCUG
rnacentral:rRNA from 1 species